rnacentral:ncRNA from 1 species
AUGAGCUUAGAUGGGGGCUUAUAUGUUCGGUUCGUUUUAUAGCUUUAUUGUUUAGUUUUAAUUUUAAUGUCUCUGUUGUGGGGGCUAUUUAUAAUUAUUUAGUUCAUUAUUAGUUUUUAAUUUUAUAUUUAAAUGAUUGAUUAAUAUUUUAAAUAGUACCGGCAAAAGUCGUGCCAGCUGCCGCGGUUAUACGAAGGGUGCAAAUAAAUAUUUUUGGUUGAUGGUUUAAUUGAUGUUACGGAAAUUAAAAUUUUAUUUUUUGGGUGGAAUCUUUAAUUAUAAAUUAAUUUCUAUGUUAAGGUUGUUGAAUCUUUGAAAUUUAAAAUUUAAACUAGGAUUAGAUACCCUAUUAUUUUAGAUGUAAAUAAUUUGAUUACUUGGGUAGUAUUAGAUAUGGUCUUGAAACUCAAAGAAUUUGGCGGUGUUUUAGUCCUUUCAGAGGAACCUGUCCCGUGAUCGAUAAUCCACGUUAUAUCUUACUUGAUUUAGUGAUCAGCUUGUAUACCGCCGUCGUCAGAAUGUCCUUAAAGGGAAAAAUUUUCUUAAGUUUAUAAUAAAAAUUAUGUCAGGUCAAGGUGCAGUUUAUGGUCAAGUGGUGAUGGGUUACAAUAAAAUUAUUUAAUAUGGAUAAUAAGUUGAAAUUUAUUAAUUAGAAGGUGGAUUUGAUGGUAAUUUGAAUAAUUAAGUUUAUUUGAUUUUGGUUCUAAAAUAUGCACACAUCGCCCGUCGCUCUUGUUAAUUAAGACAAGAUAAGUCGUAACAUAGUAGGUGUACUGGAAAGUGUACCUGGUAAGUAG